rnacentral:rRNA from 1 species
UACGGAGGGGGCUAGCGUUGUUCGGAUUCACUGGGCGUAAAGGGUGCGUAGGUGGCUGGAAAAGUUUGAUGUGAAAGCUCAGGGCUUAACCCUGAAAUGGCAUUGAAUACUGUCGAGCUGGAGGUUUGGAGGGGGGACUGGAAUUCUUGGUGUAGCAGCGAAAUGCGUAGAUAUCAAGAGGAACACCAGUGGCGAAGGCGAGUCCCUGGACAACACCUGACACUGAGGCACGAAAGCUAGGGGAGCAAACAGG